GACGAACGCUGGCGGCGUGCUUAACACAUGCAAGUCGAACGGAAAGGCCCAGCUUUUGUGGGGUGCUCGAAUGGCGAACGGGUGAGUAACACGUGAGUAACCUGCCCUUGACGUUGGGAUAACUUCAGGAAACUGGGGCGAAUACCGGAUAGGAGCUCCUGCUGCAUUGUGGGGGUUGUAAAGUUUCGGCGGUUGGGUAUGGACUCGCGGCUUAUCAGCUUGUUGGUGGGGUAGUGGCUUACCAAGGCUUUGACGGGUAGCCGGCCUGAGAGGGUGACCGGACACAUCGGGACUGAGAUACGGCCCAGACUCAUAUGGGAGGCAGCAGUGCAGAAUAUUGCACAAUGGGAGGAAGCCUGAUGCAGCAACGCCGCGUGCGGGAUGACGGCAUUCGGGUUGUAACCCGAUUUCGCCUGUGACGAAGAGAGAGUGACGGUAAUGGGUAAAGAAGCCCCGGCUAAAUACGUG
rnacentral:rRNA from 1 species